AUAAAAACUAUGAUGGAGAAAAGUAGGACGGUUUUCGAUCUUUCAGGGAGGGGUUAGCCGUGACUGUAAGCAGCCCUAAGCAUUCACCGUUUGAAGUUCGCUCCUGAGUUAUCAGGCUGAAACACCUGCAAGUAGGCCUGAUCGGAAACUUUCACCGUUAAAAGAAGAUGGUAUCGGAAAUAUUUUUUUCGGUUACUUAUAGAGUUGUCUGCCGGAUCUAAGACGCAGAUUAAUAUGGGUGGUACCGCGAAAGACAGAACUUUCGUCCCGUAG
rnacentral:ncRNA from 1 species